ACUGGAUGGAGACUGAUGAGCUACAGAGAGAGAGGAGUGAAGUCAGGGUGUGUCUCUAACUGGGGAUCAAUAACAGGGUCCACAUGUACCAUCAGCUACACAUACACAUGGUCCAGUGGAGUGUUCUGGUGUGAGUCUGGAUCAGGAGAGUACAGUAAUGCUGUCAACAUCACAGUAAAUGCUGGUGAUGUGAUCCUGGAGAGCCCUGUCCAUCCCGUAACUGAAGGAGACUCUCUGACUCUGAGCUGUAAAUACCGGAAAGUCAGCUCAAACUUCAAAGCUGAUUUCUACAAAAAUUGAGUACUCAUCAAGAAUGAGACCACAGGAGAGAUGACCAUCCCUACAGUAUCCAAGUCAGAUGAAGGAUUCUAUAAGUGUACAUCUGGUCAAGGGGAGUCACCAGAGAGCCAGGUGACAGUGAGAGUCCCUCCAGGUUCCAUUGUCUCCAUCUCUCUGCCCAGGCUGCUGUGUGGUCUACUGGUGAUGUCUCCCUUUCUACUGGUGUCCAUCGUGCUGACGGUGAAAUGCUGCAGGGCUCGAGGUUUGUGUUCAACAGUCAAAUCUCCUCAAGACCAGAUACAAUGUGAUGAUGUCAUCGAACAGAACAAAUCAUCAGUGUGAACAUUACAGUAUGAACUGUAAGCUGAACAACUAUUAUUAUGAUUGUAAAGUUUUUACGGUUGAUGUAUGAUAGUGUUUACUGAGUUGAAUAUUACUGAAUAGAAUCUCACAAAUGCUGAAUGUUAUGAUUUUGUAAGUUGACAUUUUCAUCUUUUGGUGGCUUGUAUGCUUUCCUUUGUAAUUAUUGAUUGAUGUUUAUUUUUCUUGUAAUAUUACACUUAUUACACUGUCUUUAUUUCAGUUUGUUAAUUAAACACGAGUGUGGUGCCUGUUUUUGUUUAAAAGUAUAAUUUGCUGCAUUCUUUGAAUAUUUUGUAUUUUAGAUAAUGUCAUGCUUCUUACAUGCAAGUGGAUAUAUACAGUACGUGAAACUUUUCAGCUUUUAAUUCGAAUUUAAAAUAUUAAAGAUGUGUUUAUACUUGGUUGGUUGACCUACUAUAACAGUUAAGAUGGAACAUGUAGAUAUAGUUUGUUAUUAAAAAUGUAUAUUUACAUAAUGCAGCUUUAAUGCUUAUUUUUAUAUUAAAGGUAGACUCAGCGAAACGUCGUUGCCACGAGUGGCACUGCAGAUAUUGGGAAGAGGGAGAUGCAAUACUUCACUCUCACACAAUCACACACAGUAUCUGCGCAUAUGUACGGGUUCGCUUCACGCUGUUCAAUUUGACAGCAGAUAUACAUUUUCAACAUGUAAGUAUUUUGUCAAAUGGUUUCAGUUGUUGUUAAAGGAGCCAGAUGAGUGUUCCACUAUGAAACAUAAAAUGGAAAAGGUGUGUUGUAUUUUGUAUUAAUUCUCAUGUGUCAAUUAAAAAGUGCU